UACGAGAGGCCCAAACGUUAUUCGGAUUUACUGGGCUUAAAGAGUUCGUAGGCGGCGCGGAAAGUAGGGUGUGAAAGCCCUCGGCUCAACCGAGGAAUUGCGCUCUAAACUGCCGCGCUCGAGGAACCUAGAGGUGAGCAGAACUGAUGGUGGAGCGGUGAAAUGCGUUGAUAUCAAGAGGAACACCUGAGGUGAAGACGGGUUGCUGGGCUGACACUGACGCUGAGUGCGCGAAAGCCAGGGGAGCAAACGGG
rnacentral:rRNA from 1 species